rnacentral:rRNA from 1 species
GUGAGGAAUUUUCCGCAAUGGGCGAAAGCCUGACGGAGCAAUGCCGCGUGAAGGAUGAAGGCCUAUGGGUUGUAAACUUCUUUUCUCAGAAAAGAAUUAUGACGGUAUCUGAGGAAUAAGCAUCGGCUAACUCUGUGCCAGCAGCCGCGGUAAGACAGAGGAUGCAAGCGUUAUCCGGAAUGAUUGGGCGUAAAGCGUCUGUAGGUUGUUUAAAAAGUAUUCUGUCAAAGAUUAGGGCUUAACCCUAGAUAGGCAGAAUAAACUUUUAAGCUAGAGUUUGGUAGAGGCAGAGGGAAUUCCCGGUGGAGCGGUGAAAUGCGUAGAUAUCGGGAGGAACACCAAAGGCGAAGGCACUCUGCUGGGCCAAUACUAACACUGAGAGACGAAAGCGAGGGGAGCAAAUGGGAUUAGAAACCCCAGUCC